UACGUAGGGUGCGAGCGUUAAUCGGAAUUACUGGGCGUAAAGCGUGCGUAGGCGGCUCGUUAAGUUCGUUGUGAAAGCCCCGGGCUCAACCUGGGAACUGCAAUGGAAACUGGCGGGCUUGAGUGUGGCAGAGGGGGGUGGAAUUCCGCGUGUAGCAGUGAAAUGCGUAGAGAUGCGGAGGAACACCGAUGGCGAAGGCAGCCCCCUGGGCCAACACUGACGCUCAGGCACGAAAGCGUGGGGAGCAAACAGG
rnacentral:rRNA from 1 species